rnacentral:rRNA from 1 species
CUACGGGGCGCUGCAGUGAGGAAUAUUGCACAAUGGGGGGAACCCUGAUGCAGCAACGCCGCGUGGAGGAUGACGCAUUUCGGUGUGUAAACUCCUUUUAUAUGUCAAGAAAAUGACGGUAGCAUAUGAAUAAGCACCGGCUAACUCCGUGCCAGCAGCCGCGGUAAUACGGAGGGUGCAAGCGUUACUCGGAAUCACUGGGCGUAAAGGGCGCGUAGGCGGGUUGGAAAGUCAGGUGUGAAAUCCUACAGCUUAACUGGAGAACUGCACUUGAAACUUCUAAUCUAGAGUAUGGGAGGGGAAGACGGAAUUAGUGGUGUAGGGGUAAUAUCCGUAGAUAUCACUAGGAAUACCUAAAGCGAAGGCGAUCUCCUGGAACAUUACUGACGCUAAGGCGUGAAAGCGUGGGGAGCAAACAGGAUUAGAUACCCGAGUAGUC